GAUGAACGCUAGCUACAGGCUUAAAACAUGCAAGUCGAGGGACCGGCGCACGGGAGAGUAACACGUAUCCAACCUGCCCGUUACUCGGCGAUUGCCAUUCGAGAGAAAGAUUACUAACCGAUGUAAAGGAAGGGGAUGCGUUCCAUUAGGUUGUUGGUGAGGUAACGGCUAACCAAGCCGUCGAUGGAUAUGGGUUCUGAGAGGAAGGUCCCCCACAUUUGAACUGAGACACGGUCCAAACUCCUACGGGAGGCAGCAGUGAGGAAUAUUGGUCAAUGGGCGUUAGCCUGAACCAGCCACGUAGCGUGAAGGAUGAAGGCUUAUGGGUCGUAAACUUCUUUUAUAUAAGAAUAUGUAUUAUAUGAAUAAGGACCGGCUAACUCCGUGCCAGCAGCCGCGGUAAUAC
rnacentral:rRNA from 1 species